rnacentral:rRNA from 1 species
UUCGCCCUUAGAGUUUGAUGGUGGCUCAGGAUGAACGCUAGCGACAGGCCUAACACAUGCAAGUCGAGGGGUAACGAUGUAGCUUGCUACAGGCGACGACCGGCGCACGGGUGCGUAACGCGUAUGAAACCUGCCUUAUACUGGGGGAUAACCCGAAGAAAUUCGGAUUAAUACCCCAUAAUAUUAAUCAUUCGCAUGUUUGAUUACUUAAAACUCCGGUGGUAUAAGAUGGUCAUGCGUGACAUUAGCUAGUUGGUGAGGUAACGGCUCACCAAGGCGACGAUGUCUAGGGGUUCUGAGAGGAAGGUCCCCCACACUGGUACUGAGACACGGACCAGACUCCUACGGGAGGCAGCAGUGAGGAAUAUUGGUCAAUGGGCGAAAGCCUGAACCAGCCAUGUCGCGUGCAGGAUGACUGCCCUAUGGGUUGUAAACUGCUUUUAUACGGGAAGAAUGUGACCUACGUGUAGGUUUUUGCCGGUACCGUAUGAAUAAGCAUCGGCUAACUCCGUGCCAGCAGCCGCGGUAAUACGGAGGAUGCGAGCGUUAUCCGGAUUCAUUGGGUUUAAAGGGUGCGUAGGCGGAAGUAUAAGUCAGGGGUGAAAGUUUGUGGCUCAACCAUAAAAUUGCCUUUGAUACUGUAUUUCUUGAGUACAUUUGAGGUAGGCGGAAUGUGUUGUGUAGCGGUGAAAUGCUUAGAUAUAACACAGAACACCGAUUGCGAAGGCAGCUUACUAAACUGUAACUGACGCUGAUGCACGAAAGCGUGGGGAUCGAACAGGAUUAGAUACCCUGGUAGUCCACGCCGUAAACGAUGAUAACUAGUUGUUUGCAAUAGACCGUAAGCGACAAAGCGAAAGCAUUAAGUUAUCCACCUGGGGGAGUACGUUGGCAACAAUGAAACUCAAAGGAAUUGACGGGGGG